rnacentral:rRNA from 1 species
UACGAAGGGGGCUAGCGUUGUUCGGAAUCACUGGGCGUAAAGCGCACGCAGGCGGAUCGUUAAGUCGGGGGUGAAAUCCCGAGGCUCAACCUCGGAACUGCCUUCGAUACUGGCGAUCUUUGAGUCCGGGAGGGGUGAGUGGAACUCCGAGUGUAGAGGUGAAAUUCGUAGAUAUUCGCAAGAACACCAGUGGCGAAGGCGGCUCACUGGCCCGGUACUGACGCUGAGGUGCGAAAGCGUGGGGAGCAAACAGG